CCCGCACAGCUCGUGCUGAAGCGGCAGGAUCAUGACAAAAUGUGACAAAACAUGAUUCCAUUGAGGAGAGCAAAUUCCCCUUUUAAUUUCAAGAUACAAAAACAACAAAAUGAUCUUGACUAAGUUGUAGCGGGAAGAGGAAGUUUGUGACCUGUUUUCAUCAAAAUACUCCAAGGAUAAAGAACUAUUGGAGCCAGCUCCAUAUACAGCACUUCUAAACCAGUGCAUAUCAUAAAAAGUCCAGGGAUUCAUUGAACUUAUAGUCGACAGCAUUCUAAAAGGCACAAUGAGGUGCUCACAGCCUUCCUCGUCAGUGGUUUGCAAGCUCACUCAGCAAGGACGAAGGAGAGCAUGAGGAACAGCCAAAGAAAAUGUCCUUCUGACAAGCAGAAGAAUUUGAAAGCAAUACAUUAAGUGAAGUCCAG